CCUGUGGAGAAACAAUGAGCAGUUAUGUAAAUUUCAAAAGUACCAACAAAACCAUUUGGGCAAAUAUUAGGUCACAAGCAUCCAUCCAUCCAUCUAUUUUCUGAGCCGCUUCUCCUCACUAGGGUCGCGGACGUGCUGGAGCCUAUCCCAGCUAUCAUCGGGCAGGAGGUGGGGUAUACCCUGAACUGGUUGCCAGCCAAUCGCAGGGCACAUACAAUCAAACAACCAUUCACACUCACAUUCACACCUACGGGCAAUUUAAAGUCUUCAAUUAACUUACCAUGCAUGUUUUGGGGGUGUGGGAGGAAACCGGAGUGCCCGGAGAAAACCCACGCAGGCACGGGGAGAACAUAUAAACUCCACACAGGCGGGGCCGGAUUUGAACCUUGGUCCGCAGAACUGUGAGGCAGAUGUGCUAACCAGUACGUGCCGCCCAAAUACUUUGUUAUUGUACUAAUUAAGUAGAUUUUACAGGUAUCUCUACUUAGCUUUGUCAUGGGUGUGUGUUCUGGUUUGAGUCUUGCCCCUGUCUCGUACACACCGGCUCCUGAGAGCAUCUUCACCACCUGUGCCUCGUUCACCCUAAUUACCCCUUGCAUUUAACCUCGUGUCUUAUUCUUUCUCGUCGCCAGUUCAUUGUACCUUGUCGUCGCGCUCCAGCAUUCCUUCUUUCCACGUCACAGACUCACAAAUUUGACCAUGAUGGUAACAGCAAUGGCAACCAGCAUCAGAAAGAAGAGUGUUAGGCCCACGGCGAGACCUACGGGGGAAUUAGGGCCGGCACAUGUGGUGCCGUUUCCAGGGACACAAGUGUUAUUCACCUGCAUGACCUGCAAAGAAGAAAAACAAAAAAAAUGAACCACAAAAACAUGGUGCGAUUGUCAAGGAUGAAGCGGAUUGCCCUGGCCGCUGUCGCAGUAUAAUAUUAAACAAAGAGAGCAAACGGGUGAGAAAUAAAAGCAAGAGUGGAUAUUUAAGAGGCUGUUGGCAAUGCUCACCCCAUUCACUGACGGCAGUUGUGCAUUUCGUCGACAGAUACUCUCCACAGGUACAUACAAAAUUAUAACUAUAGUCAAGUACGUAGUAUUGUAAAAAAAACAACAGCUUGGCAGCAGCCAUCUUCGCACCCAGAAACACAAUUUUUAUUGUGAAAGUCGCCAUGGCAUUUUUGAUUGACUGUUGCAUCUGUGACAUCACGCUGUGAUUCAAAAUUUAGAAUCACGGCCAAACUAGUGGCUGACAGUCAGCCACUCAUGACAACUAGUUGCUAAAAACCUCACACUGUGCAUGACAGUUCAGUGUCGUUCGGUCGCUCAGCAUGUGGCUGGCAUUAGGAUUCCCACACUGAACAUAUUAGGUAAGGUAAUUGGUAUAUAACCACACACGGGUAUGAGCAGAACCCAAACAGAGUACACCAAACCACAGUAAGCCCAAGCGUCUCUGCAGACUUGGGAAGGGUACGAGAGCCUGGACAUCUAAUGUUCCGCAAUCCACUGGCAGCACAAUAGGGAAACUCGCACUCCGUUGUCAUCGCAGCACAACACCAAACAGCCACGUGGACAGGCAAACAGAAAGCAGGAAGGGCCAAGGCAGAACCUAUAGUCAGGCACAGAAGGCUGAGAUGAUAACCAGGAAAACGAUGAGGCAGGAAGGUCAGAGGCAGGCAGAGUCAACAACGAGAGAUCAAUCCAAAGAGGAGUGCUGGAGAGUUUUGCAUGAGAGUGAAAUAAUUUGGCAAAAAGAAAGUAUGCAGGAGAGGCUAGGAAGAGUGGAACAGUGGAAAGGUGAAUGGAAAAACACUGAGAGCACUCGGGUACUGUAAAACAUACAUCCAUCCAUUUUCAACACCGCUUAUCCUGUUUAGGGUCACGGGGCGCUGGAGCCUAUCCCAGCUGACUUCGGGCAAAAAGCGGUAACAAAAAACGCUUGUAAUAUAUCUCAAUAUUUUUAUAAGUGGAGACAAUUUGGAAUUUGGUAUUUUAGCAAGAAACACAAAGUCGAUGCACACUCUCGCAGGCCACAUAAAAUUACGUGGUGGGCCGGAUCUGGCCCCCGGGCCACCAGUUUAACACCUGUGCACUACACAAUCAGUGACCUUACUGUAAAACAAUGGAGCCCAAUUGUGAUAUGUCUAAUACUGUACGUAAAUGCAGCUCAGGCCUGGUAAGCACAUAAAAGUAAUCAGGCUGUUUUUGUCCCAAUUUUGCCUCUGCACGACUAAAGAUGACAAACACCAGACUAUCUUAUGUCUUAUAUGAUUUUCCCAUAAGAUUAUCCUGUCGUUUGAGGUGUGUUCAGAGUGAAUUUCUCACGAUUAUAGGGUCCGAAACUGGUCAGGGCCGACAAUUUUAUUUAUUUUUUUAUAUUAAACGUGUUCAAUAUUUAUGACAGAAACUUUUCAUAUCGGGAAAGCUGACGUCUCCCAAAACAUGACUCCGUCAAUUGUGAUGUGAAACGGAAUAUAGCGACCUGACUGAGGAACAAGGCAACGGGCGUAAAUAAUAAUAAUAUAUAUAUUUUUUAAAUUAAAAAAACAUGCCCUACCCAAAGUCGUAUUUUGUAUUUGUGGAUUCACUAGAUGGCAAGAAGUAUUUUCCAAAAUCUUUACUGAAAACAUCACCAUUCACGCCCACCUCCGGUCCCUUUGGCAACACUCAAGAAACAUCGGCAGAAUUAUUUUCUAUCCUGCAGUAGUGUUCUUGACAUAAUUCUAAAAAAUAUGGAGAUUGAGACAAAUUGUUCUGGAGUGAAUUUCUAUAGGUUGGCAGCUCUGAAUUCAUAGCCAUAAAUGCAGUUUUAAUAAUAAUUAUCAUAAUAAUCUUCAGAUGGAGCCAAAUAAAUAACAAAUGAUUUUAACAGUGAACCACAGCUAUUAGCAGGGACUAUGGACUGAGCCCUGCUGCAAAUAGUAAAAAUCUGCUAGUAAUUGGCGCUACUCUGUAAAAAGGUUAAUAACUGUCUAUAGAAGCCACAAGAUGGCGAACACUUUCACUGCUUUCCCAUGAGCACAAAAAGAACUAAUAACAGAAGAUAGGUACCCCAAAACAUUUCAUGAAAAGACAAAUUCGCGAAUGCCAAAACGCAGAUAUGCACUGGUAUUGGGAGUUUUUAUAGCAUGAUAAUUCACACUGUUCAAAGGAUUGCUGUUGCACUUGUAUACAUCAUGUUACAGUUUCCUUAAAAGGAAAGAUUGAAGCUGUUGAAGUUUCAUUUUAAAAAGUCGUUACAUGAAUUCCUGUUUACAUAAAAGAUAAGCACUUUGUUCUCUAUUCUGUUCCCUUAGUGUACACCGAACCGAACCAUGACCUUAAAACCAAGGUACAUACCGAACUGUGAUUUUUGGCGUACUGUUACACCACUGGACAAUCUACAUUUCAUGUAUAUGGUUUCUCCAUUUUAACUGGCUGUCCAAUAUGGCCCGUAAUGAAAAACUUUGACACCCACUGUGUAAUCAAAAGAAAAUUAUAAACAAGAUCUGUAUUUUUUACAUUUAAAUUGUACUUGUUAAGUUCUCACUACCUUUUCUUCUCCUAUCAUGUUGCUCUAAGACCAGAAGAGAGAUCAUUAAAGCCUGUUUUUAUCAAACAUUCUGCCUUUACAAAGAGUAUAAUGCUCAGUUUUGAUUGACACUGUAGCUGUCGUUUGCCAAAUUUGACAUUCGUCUUAAAUACAUUAAGAAAAUGACAACCAAUUUAGAUGAUAAUAAUCUUAUAGGGCGGCACAGUGGUGACUGGUUAGAGCGUCUACCUCCCAGUUCUGAGGACCGGGGGUUCGAUCCCCGGCCCCGCCUGUGUGGAGUUUAGAUGUUCUCCCCGUGCCUGCGUGGGUUUUCUCCGGGCACUCCGGUUUCCUCCCACAUCACAAAAAACGUGCAUGGUAAAUUAAUUGACAACUCUAAAUUACCCGUAGGUGUGAAUGUGAUUACAAAUGGUUGUUUGUUUCUAUGUACCCUGCGAUUGGCUGGCAACCAGUUCAGGGUGUACCCUGCCUCCUGCCCGAUGAUAGCUGGGAUGGGCUCCAGCACGCCCGCGACCCUCGUAAGGAGAAACGGCUCAGAAAAUGGAUGGAUGAAUAAUCUUAUAGGGCCUAAUUUUAACUCGAUUUUUGUUCUUCUGAAAGUCACUUCUUUUCAUCGGUAUUCACGUUACCACACAUAAAAGGUUCACUUGCUGAAACUGCCUUUAAUGCUCAAUUAAAUAGAUGAAUACAUUCUGUAAUUGUUGUAUUGGCAGGACAUCAAGUACAGCAAGUGCAAGACUUUUUUUCUUGGCCUAGAGAUUCAAAAUAAACA